rnacentral:lncRNA from 1 species
UCAAGACCACAACGAGAACAUAGCAAAGUCAGAGAAGGAAGACCAAAAGCACCAGGGCCCUUCAUAUUAUUAAGCUGCUAAAUUAACUAAUCUUGGAAACUUCUAGACUCUACAAUUCUUGUUGUAUGAGAACUUCUAGCAACUAACCCUGGCAUGACCACCAGAAUCUGCAGGGCUGAGAGAAGAAAGAAAGGCAAAAGUGGAUGAAUGCAGCUGAAGAUGCUGUGGAACUCCUAUCACAUUCCAAGUGCUGUGUUGAUAUCUGGAGAUAUAGACAAGAUCGAAGCAGAUGCAGUCUUUCACAUGAAUAUUUGAAUCAGGUAGUAUGUUCCCCAAAUUAGCAAAGUAUCUCCCAGAUUUUUUCUUUGAUGAUAUAUUUGAAAUCCUAAUGCUGAAAGUUAAAUUAUCAGGGUUUUAAAACUAGAAGCAGUCAUUAUCAGAAUUUUAUAUACUAUUUAUUUUUAAGAACAUAAUUUGACUGUUUAAGUCUUAUUAUAAUUUUAAGUGAAGUACUUUGGGCAGUCAUAAAUAAAGUAAUGGGCAGGUAUUUAGUA